CUCAGAUCAUGUAAGAUUUUAAUGAUCGAACAGAUCAAAAUUUUAAACUUUUGCAUUUAAAUUUUAUCUUAAUCCAACAUCGAGGUCGCAAACUUUUUUUUUUAUUUGAACUAAAAAAAAAUAUUACGCUGUUAUCCCUAAGGUAAUUUUUUCUUAUAAUCAUUAAUAAUGGAUCAUUUAAUCAUUUAUUUAUGUUUAAUUUUUAAAAAAAGUUCAUUAAAUUUUUCUAUCGCCCCAAUAUAAUAAUUAAUUUUAUUUUAAUAAAAAAUUUAAUAUAACUUUAAAAUAAAAAUAAAUAUAAAACUCUAUAGGGUCUUCUCGUCUUUUAAAAUUAUUUUAGCUUUUUAACUAAAAAAUAAAUUUCUAAAAAUAAAUAAGAGACAGUUUAUAUUUCAUCAAAUCUUUCAUACAAGUUUUCAAUUAAAAAACUAUUGAUUAUGCUACCUUUGUACAGUCAUUAUACUGCAGCCCUUUAAUAAUUAUCAGUGGGCAGAUUAGACUUUAAAUUAUAAUCAAAAAGACAUGUUUUUG
rnacentral:rRNA from 1 species